AUUAAAUCUUGUUCUUUGUAAUGUUUCAUUCAUUCAGGUGAAAUGAGAAUCAAAACAACAUAAUAUGGAAAUUGAAGACACACCAUAUAUUGGGUUUCCAUUAGAUGAUGAAGGAGAAUCAUGUUCCAAGUUUUCCUGUGGUGAUGCCGGGAGAUAAGGUCCCAAAAUUCAUAGCCCUAGCAUGCCCAUGUGAGGCUCCAAAGGAUGAAAAAAUCACAAUCCAUGUGCAGAAUGAAUAACUAGCAAUUUUAAGUUGCUUCAAAAAAAAAAAAAAAAAACUAGCAAUUAAA